CUGGUGCUGUUCUGCUCAGACAACGUGCUCUGCCUCCCUGCUCUUGGCUUGGACAUAUUUUCCGGCUCUGCUUUGUGCUUCAGAUCAGCUUAGCCCUGAUGUUUUUGGCUUGAACUACCUGCAAAUUUAAGUGCCUCAAGUUUACCAGGAGAAAGCAUUAAGUGCCUCACAAUAUGGGCCUGGGAAGAUCUAGAAGUCUCUCAAUGGUUAUAAAGAUACUGAGCAGUUCCAACACUGCCACAAAGGAUCCAGGGACUAUCUUGAAAUUCCUAUUUCACUGCUGUGAGUAGCACAGAUGUUCCAGGCUGCUUUCUAUUUGUAAGUGGAGCAAAGCCAUUUUGUGGCUAAACGUUUCCAAUUUUCUGAUUCUCCUAAAUUAAUGAAUUGCUCAUAAGCAUCCUUGUGAAGAUUUUGCUGAACAAACUAGACCCCCAAAAUAGCUAAUUUGUAUAUAGUUUGUGGACAGGGCUUUUUUUUUGAAAUAAAAUAGCUGCAUGUUUUAUAA